rnacentral:rRNA from 1 species
AGCGAACGCUGGCGGCAUGCCUAACACAUGCAAGUCGCACGGGGGGGCUUCGGCCUCCCAGUGGCGGACGGGUGAGGAACGCGUAGGGACCUGUCGAGGGGUGGGGGAUAACCGCGGGAAACUGCGGCUAGUACCGCAUGACGCCGCGGCGUGACAGCCGGGGCCAAAGGCGAAAGCCGCCCGCCGAGGGGCCUGCGUCCGAUUAGCUGGUUGGCGGGGUAGCGGCCCACCAAGGCGUCGAUCGGUAGCUGGUCUGAGAGGGUGAUCAGCCACACCGGGACUGAGACACGGCCCGGACUCCUACGGGAGGCAGCAGUGGGGAAUAUUGGACAAUGGGCGCAAGCCUGAUCCAGCAAUGCCGCGUGGGUGAAGAAGGUCUUCGGAUUGUAAAGCCCUUUCGGCGGGGACGAUGGUGACGGUACCCGCAGAAGAAGCCCCGGCUAACUUCGUG